rnacentral:rRNA from 1 species
GUAGUCCACGCUGUAAACGAUGGAUACUAGGUGUGGGGGGACUGACCCCCUCCGUGCCGCAGUUAACACAAUAAGUAUCCCACCUGGGGAGUACGAUCGCAAGGUUGAAACUCAAAGGAAUUGACGGGGGCCCGCACAAGCGGUGGAGUAUGUGGUUUAAUUCGAAGCAACGCGAAGAACCUUACCAGGGCUUGACAUCCCGGUGACCGGACUAGAGAUAGUCUUUUCCCUUCGGGGACACCGGUGACAGGUGGUGCAUGGUUGUCGUCAGCUCGUGUCGUGAGAUGUUGGGUUAAGUCCCGCAACGAGCGCAACCCUUAUUGUUAGUUGCUACGCAAGAGCACUCUAGC